rnacentral:rRNA from 1 species
GAUGAACGCUGGCGGGGUGCUUAAUACAUGCAAGUCGAGCGAAGCGGGGACGGGUGAGUAACACGUAGAUAACCUCCUAUAAGACUGGGGUAACUUCGGGAAACCGGAGCUAAAACGGAUUCUCAUAGAUGGAUCGGCGCUGCAUUAGCUAGUUGGUAAGGUAACGGCUUACAAAGGCAACGAUGCAUAGCCGAUUUGAGAGGGUGAUCAGCCACACUGGGACUGAGACACGGUCCAGACUCCUACGGGAGGCAGCAGUGGGGAAUCUUCGGCAAUGGGCGAAAGCCUGACGCAGCAACGCCGCGUGUAUGAUGAAGGUCUUCGGAUCGUAAAACACUUUUAUUAGAGAAGCGGUACCUAAUCAGAAAGCCCCGGCUAACUACGUGCCAGCAGCCGCGGUAAUUC